rnacentral:tRNA from 1 species
GUGGUUGUAGCUCAGUGGUAGAGUGCUUGCCUCCAAUGUGAAAGGCACUGGGUUUGAUCCUCAGCAUCACG